UACGUAGGGUGCAAGCGUUGUCCGGAAUUAUUGGGCGUAAAGAGCUCGUAGGCGGUUUGUCGCGUCUGCUGUGAAAACUCAGGGCUUAACCCUGAGCCUGCUUCCGAUACGGGCAGACUAGAGGUAUGCAGGGGAGAACGGAAUUCCUGGUGUAGCGGUGAAAUGCGCAGAUAUCAGGAGGAACACGGGUGGCGAAGGCGGUUCUCUGGGCAUUACCUGACGCUGAGGAGCGAAAGUGUGGGGAGCGAACAGG
rnacentral:rRNA from 1 species